CUCCCAUUGGCUGCCCGGCCUGCCAAUCACGCUCAUGUAAACACUUUGGCCCUCAGCCAUUCCUAUAAAACCAAUUAUGGACCAAGGGGCUCGAGCGGUUUCUAGGCUCCCCCCGCCAGAGCUGAAUGAUCAAAACUGGCGGCUGACUGAUCAAAAUAGUAGGAGAUGCUUGUAGCUGCAAUUCAGUUCUUUUCAUUCCGCUGUUCAGUGGAAACGCUGUCAACUCCCCGAUUGCUGGGAACCAGCCUGCAGAAGGAGGACAAGAAUGAAGGGAGAGGGAAAUCGCCGCUUUCCCUGUCCUGCUUCCUCCUUGAAACUCAGUGUCAGAUCUCCAGUGAUUUAAUAUUUUGGGGAGGCCUCAGCGGCCGGAAGGAAGCGCUCUUCUAAAUAUCACCCUGGCACCUUCCGGACCCUCGGUGAGAGGACAGCGACAUCGGCCGAGACCCGGCGAGGGACGGCGCCCAAAUUAGCGGAGGAACCUCGCGAAGAAAAGAGGGGAGAAAAGGGGGAAAAGCUUGGGGUGGGGAGCUAAAUGGGAAGAGAAGGGGAGGGAGGAAAAAGGAGGUGAUUGCAAGGAAAAUUAAUGCAAGUCUGAAGCUUAUGGCUGCCUGAACAGAGAAUGCUGAGGGAUUUUGAGUGGUCACUGGAGCAGCAAUGAGUGACAGGCUCCCUCUAAGCUUUUUAAAAAGUACUGCUUUAUUCCUUGAAAACCUUGCAGAUUUCAAACCGAGCCCCCUUCCUCCCUCCCCCGCUCCCCCACCUCCACUUAAUACUCACCGAUGCUCAGCUUUGGGUGCGCUCCCCUCCUCCCCUACUCAAAAAAAGUGAGAAAUGUCGUCUUUUUUGUUGUUGUUUUCCUAUUCCAAAAAAUAUAGACCAGAGAAAAAUAAGACGGGCUUAAUCGCGUGAUGGGCUGGAAAGGCACAUUUUAUAAAUGUUUAAUGUUUUCACACCCGGAUGCUACAAGACGCUGUAAUUGUGACGGUGGGGUAUGUAUGCAAUAAAUCAUUUAGUUCCUAAUAAAAAUUCUGCCUGUUUGUCUUGA